rnacentral:rRNA from 1 species
UACGUAGGGCGCAAGCGUUGUCCGGAAUUAUUGGGCGUAAAGAGCUCGUAGGUGGUGUGUCGCGUCUGCCGUGAAAGCCCGGGGCUUAACUCCGGGUCUGCGGUGGAUACGGGCAGACUAGAGGCAGGUAGGGGAGAACGGAAUUCCCGGUGUAGCGGUGAAAUGCGCAGAUAUCGGGAGGAACACCGGUGGCGAAGGCGGCAUCCUGGACCGGUAUUGACGCUGAGGCGCGAAAGCCAGGGGAGCAAAGCGGG